rnacentral:rRNA from 1 species
GGUAAUACGUAGGGUGCGAGCGUUAAUCGGAAUUACUGGGCGUAAAGCGUGCGCAGGCGGUUAUAUAAGACAGAUGUGAAAUCCCCGGGCUCAACCUGGGAGCUGCAUUAGUGACUGUAUAGCUGGAGUGCGGCAGAGGGGGAUGGAAUUCCGCGUGUAGCAGUGAAAUGCGUAGAUAUGCGGAGGAACACCGAUGGCGAAGGCAAUCCCCUGGGCCUGCACUGACGCUCAUGCACGAAAGCGCGGGGAGCAAACAGGACUAGAUACCCUGGUAGUCCACGCCCUAAACGAUGUCAACUGGUUGUUGGGAAUUCACUUUCUCAGUAACGAAGCUAACGCGUGAAGUUGACCGCCUGGGGAGUACGGCCGCAAGGUUAAAACUCAAAGGAAUUGACGGGGACCCGCACAAGCGGUGGAUUAUGUGGAUUAAUUCGACGCAACGCGAAAAACCUUACCUACCCUUGACAUGUAGCGAAUUUUCUAGAGAUAGAUUAGUGCCUUCGGGAACGCUAACACAGGUGCUGCAUGGCUGUCGUCAGCUCGUGUCGUGAGAUGUUGGGUUAAGUCCCGCAACGAGCGCAACCCUUGUCAUUAAUUGCCAUCAUUUAGUUGGGCACUUUAAUGAGACUGCCGGUGACAAACCGGAGGAAGGUGGGGAUGACGUCAAGUCCUCAUGGCCCUUAUGGGUAGGGCUUCACACGUAAUACAAUGGCGCGUACAGAGGGUUGCCAACCCGCGAGGGGGAGCUAAUCUCAGAAAGCGCGUCGUAGUCCGGAUCGGAGUCUGCAACUCGACUCCGUGAAGUCGGAAUCGCUAGUAAUCGCGGAUCAGCAUGUCGCGGUGAAUACGUUCCCGGGUCUUGUACACACCGCCCGUCACACCAUGGGAGUGGGUUUCACCAGAAGCAGGUAGUCUAACCGUAAGGAGGGCGCUUGCCACGGUGAGAUUCAUGACUGGGGUG